CCUACGGGGGGCAGCAGUCGAGAAUCAUUCACAAUGGGGGAAACCCUGAUGGUGCGACGCCGCGUGGGGGAAUGAAGGUCUUCGGAUUGUAAACCCCUGUCAUGUGGGAGCAAAUUAAAAAGAUAGUACCACAAGAGGAAGAGACGGCUAACUCUGUGCCAGCAGCCGCGGUCAUACAGAGGUCUCAAGCGUUGUUCGGAAUCACUGGGCGUAAAGCGUGCGUAGGCUGUUUCGUAAGUCGUGUGUGAAAGGCGCGGGCUCAACCCGCGGACGGCACAUGAAACUGGGAGACUAGAGUAAUGGAGGGGUAACCGGAAUUCUCGGUGUAGCAGUGAAAUGCGUAGAUAUCGAGAGGAACACUCGGGGCGAAGGCGGGUUCCUGGACAUUAACUGACGCUGAGGCACGAAGGCCAGGGGAGCGAAAGGGAUUAGAUACCCCAGUAGUC
rnacentral:rRNA from 1 species